rnacentral:rRNA from 1 species
AACGCGAAGAACCUUACCUGGGCUCGAACGGCUGCGGAAAGCCGGUGGAAACACUGGUUCUCCCGCAAGGGAUCGUAGUCGAGGUGCUGCAUGGCUGUCGUCAGCUCGUGUCGUGAGAUGUUGGGUUAAGUCCCGCAACGAGCGCAACCCUUGUCCUGUGUUGGCAUGCCGAAAGGCGCAACUCUCAGGAGACCGCCAGCGAUAAGUUGGAGGAAGGUGGGGAUGACGUCAAGUCAUCAUGGCCUUUAUGUCCAGGGCUACACACGUGCUACAAUGGGCGGUACAAAGCGCUGCAAACCCGCGAGGGGGAGCUAAUCGCAAAAAACCGUUCUCAGUUCGGAUCGCAGGCUGCAACUCGCCUGCGUGAAGCUGGAAUCGCUAGUAAUGGCAUAUCAGAACGAUGCCGUGAAUACGUUCCCGGGCCUUGUA